UACGUAGGGUGCGAGCGUUGUCCGGAAUUAUUGGGCGUAAAGGGCUCGUAGGCGGUUUGUCGCGUCGGGAGUGAAAACACCGGGCUUAACUCGGUGCUUGCUUUCGAUACGGGCAGACUAGAGGUAUGCAGGGGAGAACGGAAUUCCUGGUGUAGCGGUGAAAUGCGCAGAUAUCAGGAGGAACACCGGUGGCGAAGGCGGUUCUCUGGGCAACUACUGACGCUGAGGAGCGAAAGCGUGGGGAGCGAACAGG
rnacentral:rRNA from 1 species